rnacentral:rRNA from 1 species
AUUCCAGCUCCAAUAGCAUAUAUUAAAGUUGUUGCAGUUAAAAAGCUCGUAGUUGGAUUUCUGGCAUGAUGCGCCUGGCCCGCCGUGAUUACGCGUGUGUGUGCUAGUGCGCGUCUGCCAUCCAUUGGCAGAAUAUGUCUACCCUUAAUUGGGACGGAUAUGUGAUGUCAACCUUUUACUUUGAAAAAAUUAGAGUGUUUAAAGCCGGCAUUUGCUAUGAAUACAUUAGCAUGGAAUAAUAAUCUAGGACUUCGGUUCUAUUUUGUUGGUUUCUAGAUCUGGAGUAAUGAUUGAUGGGGAUAGUUGGGGGUGCUAGUAUUAAGGGGCCAGAGGUGAAAUUCUUGGAUUCUCUUAAGACUAACUUAUGCGAAAGCAUUCACCAAGGAUGUCUUCAUCA